rnacentral:rRNA from 1 species
GACGAACGCUGGCGGCGUGCUUAACACAUGCAAGUCGAACGGUAAGGCCCUUCGGGGUACACGAGUGGCGAACGGGUGAGUAACACGUGGGUGAUCUGCCCUGCACUUCGGGAUAAGCCUGGGAAACUGGGUCUAAUACCGGAUAGGACUCCGGACUGCAUGGUCUGGGGUGGAAAGCUUUUGCGGUGUGGGAUGGGCCCGCGGCCUAUCAGCUUGUUGGUGGGGUGAUGGCCUACCAAGGCGACGACGGGUAGCCGGCCUGAGAGGGUGACCGGCCACACUGGAACUGAGAUACGGCCCAGACUCCUACGGGAGGCAGCAGUGGGGAAUAUUGCACAAUGGGCGCAAGCCUGAUGCAGCGACGCCGCGUGAGGGGUGACGGCCUUCGGGUUGUAAACCUCUUUCAGCACCGACGAAGCGCAAGUGACGGUAGGUGCAGAAGAAGGACCGGCCAACUACGUGCCAGCCGCCGCUGUAAAAC